rnacentral:rRNA from 1 species
CGCCCUUAGAGUUUGAUCCUGGCUCAAGAGGAACGCUGGCGGCGUGCUUAACACAUGCAAGUCGAACGGGAAAUAUUUCAUUGAGACUUCGGUGGAUUUGAUCUAUUUCUAGUGGCGGACGGGUGAGUAACGCGUGGGUAACCUGCCUUAUACAGGGGGAUAACAGUCAGAAAUGGCUGCUAAUACCGCAUAAGCGCACAGAGCUGCAUGGCUCAGUGUGAAAAACUCCGGUGGUAUAAGAUGGACCCGCGUUGGAUUAGCUGGUUGGUGGGGUAACGGCCCACCAAGGCGACGAUCCAUAGCCGGCCUGAGAGGGUGAACGGCCACAUUGGGACUGAGACACGGCCCAGACUCCUACGGGAGGCAGCAGUGGGGAAUAUUGCACAAUGGGGGAAACCCUGAUGCAGCGACGCCGCGUGAAGGAAGAAGUAUCUCGGUAUGUAAACUUCUAUCAGCAGGGAAGAUAGUGACGGUACCUGACUAAGAAGCCCCGGCUAACUACGUGCCAGCAGCCGCGGUAAUACGUAGGGGGCAAGCGUUAUCCGGAUUUACUGGGUGUAAAGGGAGCGUAGACGGUGUGGCAAGUCUGAUGUGAAAGGCAUGGGCUCAACCUGUGGACUGCAUUGGAAACUGUCAUACUUGAGUGCCGGAGGGGUAAGCGGAAUUCCUAGUGUAGCGGUGAAAUGCGUAGAUAUUAGGAGGAACACCAGUGGCGAAGGCGGCUUACUGGACGGUAACUGACGUUGAGGCUCGAAAGCGUGGGGAGCC